GUCCAGCUCUGUGACACUGAAGGUCACCAGUUCCCUUGCUGGCUUCGACUGAAUGAUUCCCCUGUGAAGUCCCUUGUUUACUGUAUUUGUAAUUAGCCACCAAGAACUUGAGUAACCGGUUUCCGAGGAGAACAUAUAUCCUGAAUCAGUUCCUGGACAUUUGUUUGAGGUCUUGUAAGGGAAACUGAAGGGAAUUGUGUAUUGAACAGGAUGGCUUAGACCUGCUCAACUUCUGAGAAUUGAGGCAAAGUGGGCAAUCCAGAUGUAUCACUUGACUUUCUGACUACUGGAAGAAUUUCCCUUCAUUAUUGCACACCAGGGGUAUCCCACAGAUGAUGAAGAGCCAAGGAGCCUAUCAGGAAGGCAAUGAAGAGACUGGCAAAGGCAAGAAGGUACUAUCACUGCUAGAGAGAUCCAGGGGGAAGGCUGUGUGACCAGAGUCAAGGAACAGGAACAUCUGGAGAAAGCCUGCCCAAACAAGAGCUGAAGCCGUGUGGAGGAGACGCAGCAGCUACCACUGCAAAUGCUACUCGAGGCAGAGAGACGGAGGAGGUGGAAUGUGGCCUGUUUCCUCCUUGGGCCCUUCGGUUUUCCACAGUGUCUUUCACUGGCCUUCUUGAAAUCCAGGAAACAAGAGAGCUGGAAAAUAUUGGUCUCUGAGUUAUAGCACAGGGCAGAGAAGGGCAGAAAAUGCACCUGAAAGAAAACAGCUUUCUCCUCACCAACUCUUCAAAGAUCCAGUUGAUACAAAAUGCACAUGCUAAAAUAUGAUUCCCCAGUCCUGUCCAAGCUGAUGUGGUCUUCUCCAAGCCCCCAGUCCUGACCAAGCUGAAUCUCCUUUGUCACUCAUGGGGCAACAGGGACUUACCUGCCAGUGCAGGAGAAAGGAGAGAUCCUUUAGAACAGGAGCUAAGAUGCCAGGAGCUCACGCAAAAUGCUUGAAGAAAGGGGCUUAGCCAGAAACCGAACUGGGAGUUGAUGCCCAGUUUAGGAAGAGUUCAAAUCGAGGAGUCAGAAGCAGCAAAUUCUACAUCAGAUCCACAAAUUCUUAACUAGAAGAAUAAAAACAAGUCAAAUCAAGUUGGGCUCAAAAGGAAUAUAGGGGCAGAAGAGGUGAUGUGCAGAUGGGUGUGCCUGGCCAAAUGGUGGGGGUAGGCACAGGCAGCACACACCAUUGAUUUCUUUGCUUCCUUUUUUAAAGAUUUUAUUUUUAAGAGCAGUUUCAGGUUCAAAGCAAAGUUAGAAGUACCAAGAUUUUUUCCAUAUACCCCUGUCCCUACAUAUGCAUAGCCCCCUCAUUAUCAAAAUCCCCUAUCAGAGUGUAAUAAAUGACAAUGAACCUACGUUGGACGCAUCAUAAUCACGUAAAGUCCUGGUGUACAUUAGCUUUCACUCUUGGUGUUGUACAUUCUAUGAAUUCGGACAAAUGUGUAAUGGCAUGUGUCCACUGUUAUGGUAUCAUACAGAGCACUUUCACUGCCACAAAAAUUUUCUGCUCUCUGCCUAUAGUUGGGGAUCAGAAACCAAUACCCCAAAAUAUGGCAUUUUGACAUGCUGAACUGAAGAAGCUUUAAUGUCUCUCUGACCUUCCUUCUUCUGCCCCACCUUCUUUCCCAAAACCUAGGAUUAUCUUGUUCCCUUAUCUGCUUAAAGUCCGAACCUGCCAAAGAAGAAAACAAUGACCUCUGCACCCUUCCCUGAGUUUCCAUUAACUGAACCUAGAUUCCAGGAAGAAAGAUUGAAGUCUGUCAACACACCUGGACAGACUUUUAUCACAAACCAUUGUCCACUCUGCUAACCCAACAGAUUUUGUCCCAGACAACUGUAUUCUCUUCAAGCCCAUUGAAUUCUCCCUAGGAAUCAUGCAUUGCCCCUCAACAGAAUUCCUCUUGUCCCUACUCACAUAGUUUGCUUUGCCGGGAUCCUAAGAUUUCUUGGAAAACCUUAGGACCAGGAGGUAUUCUUGUGGACUCAUUCUGUUUUUCUGUAACCUCAAGAUGGUGUAUAAGCUUCUGCCCCCUAAUCGGGGGUUGGAGUAAUCACUGUGUCUCCUGUGUGAAAGUAAACACAUUUGUAUGCCCUUUUCCCAAUUAAUCUACCUUCUGUGAGUUGAUUUUUUAGCGAAACUUCAGAGGGCUCUUUGACUCCUACACUAUUUAUCCCUCCCCCUCCCUUCAGCCCCUAACAACCACUGAUCUUCUUACUGCCUCCACAGUUUUACCUUUUCCAGAAGGUCAUAUAGUUGAAAUAUUACAGUCCGUUACCUUUUCAGAUUAGCUUCUGUCACUUAGUAAUAUAUAUUUAAGAUUCCUCCAUGUCUUUUCAUGGCUUGAUAGUUCAUUUCUUUUCAGUAUUAAAUGAUAUUCCAUUGUUUGAUGUACCACAAUUUAUCCCUUACCUACUGAAGGAAUACCUGGUUGUUUCCAAGAUUUACCUGGCCACCUAUGGAAUACUGUAGUUUCCAAAACUGGCCAUAAGAUAUUUCCUACUAUUCUUGCAUAUUGCAGUUGCAUAAGAAUUGCGUCCUAAGAUUUUCCAGAAAUUUGGCACUUCUCCAUCAAGACAUGGAUUCUACUUCCUCUUCCCUUAAGUCUAGGCAGAUUUGUGACUGGUAACCACAGAGCAUGGUAGAAAUUACACGGAGUGAUUUCUGAGGUUAUAAAUGAUGAAGCUCAUCUACCUCACAGGAACAUAGGCAUUGAGUCCUGAGCCACCAAGCAAGUGUCCAACUACUCUGAAACUGCCAUGUGGUGAGGAAGCCCAAACUUGAUGUGAUUUCACCUCUUCUGCCCCUAUUCCUUUUGUGCCCAACUUGAUUUGACUUGCUUUUAUUUUUCUAGUUAAGUGAAAAGAUAGCAAGGGGAAGCACUGAAGCUGCAUCGUGAGCGAGAGAUGCCCAGCCACCAGGCAGCUGCUCCACCCACCUCACCCUCAGCCUACUUUCCUCCACCCUCAACCUUGUACUUUUGUUGCUCCAACCACUGUCUGGUUACAAUCAGAGGAGAGAUUCCAAGACAGUAGCACCCAGCUAAACCCUUCCUGAAUUCGCAACUCACAAAAGUUAUAAAAGACAAUAAAAUGACUGUUCUUUAAGUUAUAUGUUUUGAAGUGAAUUAUUAUUCAGCAACAAAUAACCCAUAACAUCAUCCUUUUUUCCUCACCUCCACUUCCCAGUUUUGCCUCCAGUCUGAGUACUUAAAGUUAGGCCUACAAAUCCAGUCCUUUCCCUUCAAAGGAAACUUAUUAUAAACUGAGGCAUCCAGAAAAAGGCUGUCAUGAGGUUUUAAUGUCAUUCUCUGCUCUCUUCAUU
rnacentral:lncRNA from 1 species